rnacentral:lncRNA from 1 species
GCUCCGUUCGGCUCCCUCUGUAGUUCUCCUAAGUACGCAUGAGCCGACGGCCAUCUUCCUCGCUGCAGAGAGCUAGACCGACGGGAGACGGCUGCCCCGUGCCCUCCAGCCUCCUCCAACAACUGCAGCAGCACGUGCGGCGGUAGACUGCUCCCCCCAUGGCUACCGGCGACAGGCUGCACCUCCCUGGCGGCCGGUGGCGAGUGCCAAAUCGUCCGCGUGCAAUGCACAAACCACAGCAUUGCAGUCCACCUCCUCUUAUUUCGUGCGCUUUCAAUCAUCCUGAAGAUGGCAAGGACAAAACAUGGACGAUCUGUACUUUCAGACAUUUGUUAGGAUGACAGGGACUGAACAAGAAAGAUCUGUGUUUUCGAUCAUUCUGAAAUUGUUGAAAGUCUAUUCAACAAACUCCCAUUCAUUUAGUGUUUGAAAUCCUUUUGAAACCUAUUGUUUAAUGUUGGCGCUCUCCCAAGCUAGUGUUUUGUAAUUUGGUGUUGUGUACUGCUAACCUACUUUCUCAUGGUCUGUGUUGUGUAUGUUGUCAAGUGUUAACCUGCGUAUCAUGGUCUUUGCAGUUCAUCCUAUGUAUUGUUGAAGCUGAUCCAAAGCAACAAAAGCAGCGAGCGGGCAUAUGUAUGCAGGCUGCUGCGGGUUGCCACGUAUUCCUUCAAGUAUUGUACUAAAGAUGGCCAUGCAUGAUACAGGCUGCUGAGUGUACUUUUAGAUUGUUCUAAAAUCUGGGUACACACCCAUGUAGUGUAUUCAUGGGAGCUCCCAAUUCAGUUCAGAAGUACUGUAAACGAGUUUCAGUUAGCUUCAUCUACUCACUUCAUUUGCUUUUAGUUUUGUUCUUUCAGAUUUUUUUUGUGUGGCUGUGCGGCUGUAAUUUUGACUUAGUAUUGCAGUCUGCUUUGGCUGCUCCCGGAGUUCAGAUGGCAGCUUCUUGAGGUCCAGUUUCAAGAAAAAAAUGUAACAACAACAAGAAAUUGAUAUCUAAAAAUGUAGAAACAAAAAUGCAGUGCACUUUUUUAUGUGUGGGAGUUCACUAGAUGUAUUUUGUUACCUUCGAACACUCUAGAAAUUCACUCUUCUCAUUGAAAAAAAAUGAUUUCAAGAGUAACGCUCGUCACUUGCGCCUAAAGUGAAGUGCGAAAAUGUUAGGGAAACAACAAACAGAGUAAUGCGGUUCACUUUUCGAAAGUGUUGUGGUCUGCUUGUGAUGAGCACAUCAAUACAAUUGUUACACCCACAACCCCUGCUGCUAUACAUACUGAACCAAUUACUAGAGCUCGUGCACGCCAACUAAAUUACCAGGUACUUUCGUUUCUUGGUAAUGAUUCUAAUGUUCAUGAGAAUAUGAUGCUGCCUAAAUUGGAUACAUUUGUUUUGCUUACAAAUGAAGGGCCUAGCUUGGAGAAGGAUGAACAUUGGAGCAAGAACAAGCAUGGAGAUGAUGGCAUGCGCAAGGGGAACAAGAACGGAGUUACAAGUGAUGAUUUCAGGACUUUGAAGCCACCAUAAUGGGUGCAUGAAGCCUUGGACAAAAUAUACAAGAUGCCACUUCAUAAAUUUCGUCCCGAGGCUAUUUUAGGUGCUGCGUCACCUUAUUAUUGGGCCAGGCCCAUGUAAUUUCGAAAUACAUAAGUAUAGGCUAUUUUUAGAGUACGUAUGUGUGGGGAAACAAGAGAUAGGGUUGAUUUCGGACCCCUCCACCAAGGGCCACGAAAUUCCCCCCUCUUCCUCCAUAUAUACAGCCCUUAGGGCAUCAUUUAGACUUCGGGUUUUGUUUAGAUUAAAAGUUCGCCAUAGCUGCAACUUCGCGUACUUCGUUUGUGUUCAACGACCAGACAAAGGCGUCACAGAACCCCACCUUGAUCAAUAAAGCUUUCAUCUUAUAUUCGCAAUAUCCAGAUUGCAAUCUCAGUUUCUUGCUUGUUCUUCGUUUGCUCGCAGGAAACAGACCCUCGUGGUCAGGUUGAUCGUGCUCCGGUGUGGUCAAUAACCUCUCGGAGUUGGUUUAGCGAUUGCUAAGGCGCGACGUCCUCGCACGUUCGUAGUCGGAUCGUCAAAGUCGACUACCACCAAAGCGAUAUCCAUCAUCUCAUCGAAAGACGGGACACCUUUGCCUCUAUCAAGUGGUAUCAGAUUUCCAGGUUGCUCGGUGAGAUUUUACAGUUUUCGUAGUUUAGAUCGAGUCUGUUCUUCAUACCUACAGUCCACGAAAAAGCCAAAAAAAAUUAGGGUUAGUUCAUCAUAUCCGAACCAAUCUGAGCCUUUGCAUAAUCUUUUUAGGGUUUUGCUUUGUUGAAUUUGUGGUUGCAUCGUCGUGUCUAGUUGCUGGUCUUAGCGUUAGUCUUUUAGAGUUUCGAGUUCUGGUCAUAAGUUGUCACGCCGCCACCGCACCAUCAUCAUCGCCCCUGUCACCUACCACCACCGCUCCGAAUCCGUAUCCAUAUACCACCACCAAUCCGUAUCCAUAUACCACCACCGAUCCAUAUCCAUAUAUUACCACUGCUGCCAUAUACCACCACCGCUACCAUAUACCACCACCAUAUAUCCACCACCAUAUAUCCACCACCAAUCCGAGUUCCUUGCAUAUUAGGUGUGUUUUUGAGAUCCAUCUAGAUUCCGAUUCGUGUUUCCUUGCCGGAGUAGGUUUCGAAAAAAAAAGAGUCCGGAAACCACCCUCCGUUUAGGCCCAAAAUUUUUCGAAAACGCAUUUUUCGAAAAAAAUUCUGGCUAUCCUAUUUUUAGGUGUUUCUGAGUGUUUUGAGACAGGUGCCAUUAUAGGAAGUUUUUUUUGACCCGUUUCCAGUUUUUGGGUCCGGGCAGUCGAAAAAACGAAAAAAAAAAUUGGUGGAAAAAAUUUCGUGCCCAUCCUGUCAGUUUGACCUAGGAAGAGUUUUGAGACACUCGCCAUUAUAGUGAUUUUUCGCAAAAAAAAAGCAGCGCAAAAAAAAGAGCGAAAAAAAAUUCCAGAGUGUGCUUUUUCCUUGUUUACGUGCAGCGCCGUGAUUUUGUUAGUGUUCUAGGCUCGCGUCUCUAGCACGGUCUAGCCUAGGACCAGCACAGUACCGUCGUUGAGCGUUUAUUCAACUUUGCAUCUCUGAAUUGAUUAUUGCUGACCCUUUUUGCUACCAUAUUAUAAGCCUUCCCAGCUCCACAUACAUCUACGUCGUGCGUUUGACUGUCCCUGGUAAUCGCUCUAUCCAAGCUUUGAGAGUUUUGACUACAACGAUUGCCGAUCACCGCCUGCUGCUGGGUAAGAACUGGUAAGAAUUUGAGUUUUGCUUGACGGGUUUGUGAUACACCACCACCACUUCUUAGUAGUCUGUAGGAUCAUAUUCUUGUGUGUUUCUAUUUGCUGCUAACCAUGGUAGGAUCACAAGCCAAUGAGACUGAUUAGGAGAACCUGACGAACAAACAGCUACAUGAUAAAUUUCAGCAAAUGAUGAGUGAACAGGUGCAAGAUGUGCUAAACAGAUUUGACGAGGCCAUGGAGAAGAUAGAUGGCAUGGAGAAGACGUUCGAAACAAAGCUUGAUAGCAAGUUUAAUGAAUUGCUCGCGCGUUUACCACCACCACCGCCGGCUGCACCUAUCGCACCUCUGCAACACCAACAACAACGCAUCCUUCCGAAUCAGUAUGGACGAGCGAAGCGUGUUCCUAUUGAGGAUGGCCAAACUUCUGGUGCUGCUGUUCCUGUUAUUGAUGCUUCUUUGGCUCCUGCUACUGCUGCUGCUGGUACCCAGGAGGAUGAUGAGUAUGCGGGCGAUUAUGAGGAUGAGGUUGAUCAAAAUCAGAACUACGUGCACCCACUAGCACCACCACCAGCAGGUCGACCUCAGGUAUAUAUUCGUAAUGGUAGGCCUGCACCACCACCUCAGGUACGAGAUGAUGUGCAUAUUCCUAAACUGAAAUUGAAUAUUCCACCAUUUGAGGGUAGAUAUGUUCCUGAUAUAUAUCUUAGUUGGGAGUUAGAAACUGAACAACGUUUUACAUGUUUACAAUAUCCCGAGGAGAGACGGGUUGCUGCUGCUGUUUGUGCUUUCACUAGUUUUGCAUGUGUAUGGUGGUCUGAACAUUGUAGAUUAUAUCCUAUUCCAACUACUUGGGCUGCUUUGAAAACUGCUAUGCGUACGCGUUGGGUUCCACCAUAUUAUCAACGUGAAUUGCUUCAAAAAUUGCAGCGUUUAAGACAAGGGAAAAAUUCUGUAGAAGAAUAUUAUCAGGAAUUACAAACUGGCAUGAUUAGAUGUGGUAUUGUUGAGGAGAAUGAAGCUAUGCUUGCACGUUUUCUGGGUGGAUUAAAUAGAGAGAUUCAGACCAUUCUAGACUAUAAGGAGUAUACUAAUAUCACUCGUUUAUUCCAUCUUGCUUGUAAAGCUGAACGUGAAGUGCAGGAUCGACAAGCAUUGGGGCGAACUAACUUUUCUGCAGGCCGACCUUCAUCAUGGACACCACGUGCAUCUUCUACUUCAACUGCACUAGCACCUCCAUCCGGUGCCACCUCCAGCCGUGAUACAAGAAAACAUGCACAACCACCAUUAUCUGCCAAGAGCGCACCUGCGAGGCCUGCACAGCGUUCUUCUUCUUCCAUGGCAUCAACAGGGCACACAAGUGAUAUUAUUUGUCGUCGUUGUAAGGGAGGAGGUCAUUAUGCGAGGGAAUGCAAAUCUCCGCGUGUGAUGAUUGCUACCGCGGAUGGUGGAUAUGAGUCUGCUAGUGACUAUGAUGAGGAGACAUUGGCUCUUAUUACACGUGAAGAACAUGGUGGAGAUGAUUCUGAUCAUGAGACGCAAUACAUGGCUCCUGAAGACGCUGACAGGUAUGAAUGUUUAGUUGCUCAACGUGUUUUGAGUGUGCAGGUCACACAAGCUGAGCAAAAUCAGAGGCACAAUUUGUUCCAUACCAAGGGAGUUGUGAAGGAACGUUCUGUGCGCGUCAUAAUAGACGGAGGGAGCUGCAACAAUUUGGCUAGCAUGGAGAUGGUGGAGAAGCUUUCUCUCACCACAAGACCACAUCCACAUCCUUACUACAUCCAAUGGUUCAACAACAGCGGCAAGGUUAAGUGAUGAGGACAUCAAUACAAUUGUUACACCCACAGCCCCUGCUGCUAUACAUACUGGACCAAUUACUAGAGCUCGUGCACGCCAACUAAAUUACCAGGUACUUUCGUUUCUUGGUAAUGAUUCUAAUGUUCAUGAGAAUAUGAUGCUGCCUAAAUUGGAUACAUUUGUUUUGCUUACAAAUGAAGGGCCUAGCUUGGAGACGGAUGAACAUUGGAGCAAGAACAAGCAUGGAGAUGAUGGCAUGCGCAAGGGGAACAAGAACGGAGUUACAAGUGAUGAUUUCAGGACUUUGAAGCCACCAUAAUGGGUGCAUGAAGCCUUGGACGAAAUAUACAAGAUGCCACUUCAUAAAUUUCGUCCCGAGGCUAUUUUAGGUGCUGCGUCACCUUAUUAUUGGGCCAGGCCCAUGUAAUUUCGAAAUAUAUAAGUAUAGGCUAUUUUUAGAGUCCGUAUGUGUGGGGAAACAAGAGAUAGGGUUGAUUUCGGACCCCUCCACCAAGGGCCACGAAAUUCCCCCCUCUUCCUCCAUAUAUACAACCCUUAGGGCAUCGUUUAGACUUUGGGUUUUGUUUAGAUUAAAAGUUCGCCAUAGCUGCAACUUCGCGUACUUCGUUUGUGUUCAACGACCAGACAAAGGCGUCACAGAACCCCACCUUGAUCAAUAAAGCUUUCAUCUUAUAUUCGCAAUAUCCAGAUUGCAAUCUCAGUUUCUUGCUUGUUCUUCGUUUGCUCGCAGGAAACAGACCCUCGUGGUCAGGUUGAUCGUGCUCCGGCGUGGUCAAUAACCUCUCGGAGUUGGUUUAGCGAUUGCUAAGGCGCGACGUCCUCGCACGUUCGUAGUCGGAUCGUCAAAGUCGACUUCCACCAAAGCGAAAUCCACCAUCUCAUCGAAAGACGGGACACCUCUGCCUCUAUCAUAACGCACCUCUCCAACAACAACAACAACGACUACCUCCACGUCGCGAAACAGACCUUCGCCGAGCGAGCCGUGUUCCUCUUGCGUUUGGCCAAACUGUUGGUGCUGCUGUUGAUACUUCUGUGGCUCCUGCUGCUGAUGCGGAGGAGGAUGAUUAUGUGGGAGAUUAUGAGGAUGAGGUUGAUCAAAAUCAGCACUACGUGCAGCCACCUGCACCACCACCAGCAGGUCGACCUCAGGUAUAUAUUCGUAAUGGUAGGCCUGCACCACCACCUCAGGUACGAGAUGAUGUCCAUAUUCCUAAACUGAAAUUGAAUAUUCCACCAUUUGAGGGUAGAUAUGUUCCUGAUAUAUAUCUUACUUGGGAGUUAGAAACUGAACAACGAUUUACAUGUUUACAAUAUCGUGAGGAGAGACGGGUUGAUGCUGCUGUUUGUGCUUUCACUAGUUUUGCAUGUGUAUGGUGGUCUGAACAUUGUAGAUUAUAUCCUAUUCCAACUACUUGGGCUGCUUUGAAAACUGCUAUGCGUACUCGUUGGGUUCCACCAUAUUAUCAACGUGAAUUGCUUCAAAAAUUACAGCGCUUAAGACAAGGAAAAAAUUCUGUAGAAGAAUAUUAUCAGGAAUUACAAACUGGCAUGAUUAGAUGUGGUAUUGUUGAGGAGAAUGAAGCUAUGCUUGCACGUUUUCUGGGUGGAUUAAAUAGAGAGAUUCAGACCAUUCUAGACUAUAAGGAGUAUACUAAUAUCACUCGUUUAUUCCAUCUUGCUUGUAAAGCUGAACGUGAAGUGCAGGAUCGACAAGCAUUGGCGCGAACUAACUUUUCUGCAGGCCGACCUUCAUCAUGGACACCGCGUGCAUCUUCUACUUCAACUGCACCAGCACCUCAAUCAGGUGUCUCCUCCAGUCGUGAUACAAGAAAACAGGCACAACCACCAUUAUCUGCCAAGAGCGCACCUGCUAGGCCUGCACAGAGUUCUGCUUCUUCCAUGGCAUCAACAGGGCACACAAGUGAUAUUAUUUGUCGUCGUUGUAAGGGAGGAGGUCAUUAUGCGAGAGAAUGCAAAUCUCCGCGUGUGAUGAUUGCUACCGCGGAUGGUGGAUAUGAGUCCGCUAGUGACUAUGAUGAGGAGACUUUGGCUCUUAUUACACGUGAAGAACAUGGUGGAGAUGAUUCUGAUCAUGAGACGCAAUACAUGGCUCCUGAAGAUGCUGACAGGUAUGAAUGUUUAGUUGCUCAACGUAUUUUGAGUGUGCAGGUCACACAAGCUGAGCAAAAUCAGAGGAACAAUUUGUUCCAUACCAAGGGAGUUGUGAAGGAACGUUCUGUGCGCGUCAUAAUAGACGGAGGGAGAUGCAACAACUUGGCUAGCAUGGACAUGGUGGAGAAGCUUUCUCUCACCACAAGACCACAUCCACAUCCUUACUACAUCCAAUGGUUCAACAACAGCGGCAAGGUUAAGGUAACACGUACUGUUCAUGUGCAUUUUAGUAUCUCUACAUAUGCUGAUUAUGUUGAUUGUGAUGUGGUACCUAUGCAAGCAUGUUCCUUAUUACUUGGUAGACCAUGGCAAUUUGAUAAAAACUCUGUACACCAUGGUAUAAACAAUCACUAUACUCUUGUUCAUAAGGAUAAAAAUAUUACUUUGCUUCCUAUGACUCCUGAUUCCAUUUUGAAAGAUGAUAUUAAUAGAGCUAAUAAAGCAAAACAGGAGAAGAAUAAGAGUGAAAAUCAGAUUGUGGCAAAAGAAUUUGAGCAACAAAUGAAGCCUAAUAAUAAACCAUCUAGUGUUGCUUCUGAAAUUAAAUUGAAAAGUGCAUGUUUAUUUGCCACCAAAUCUGAUGUUGAUGAGCUAGAUUUCAGCAAAUCUGUUUGCUAUGCUUUUGUGUGCAAAGAGGCAUUAUUUUCAUUCGAGGACGUGCCUUCCUCUUUGACUCCUGCUGUCACUAACAUUUUGCAGGAGUUCGCUGGCGUCUUUCCACAAGACGUGCCACCGGGAUUACCGCCUAUUCGAGGGAUUGAGCAUCAGAUUGACUUAAUUCCCGGUGCUUCACUGCCAAACCGUGCACCAUACCGUACCAAUCCAGAGGAGACGAAGGAGAUUAUGCGUCAAGUACAAGAGCUUCUCGACAAAGGUUAUAUACGCGAAUCCCUUAGUCCUUGUGUUGUUCCUAUUAUUCUAGUGCCGAAAAAGGAUGGUACAUCACGUAUGUGUGUUGAUUGUAGAGGCAUUAAUAAUAUUGCUAUUCGUUAUCGUCAUCCUAUUCCUAGGCUCGAUGAUAUGCUUGAUGAAUUGAGUGGCUCUACAAUAUUCUCCAAAGUUGAUUUGCGUAGUGGAUACCAUCAAAUUCGUAUGAAAUUGGGAGAUGAAUGGUAAACAACAUUUAAAACUAAGUUUGGAUUAUAUGAGUGGUUAGUCAUGCCUUUUGGGUUAACUAAUGCACCUAGUACUUUCAUGAGAUUAAUGAACGAAGUUUUACGUGCUUUCAUUGGACGAUUUGUGGUAGUUUACUUUGAUGACAUAUUGAUUUAUAGCAGAUCUUUGGAAGAACAUUUGGAACAUUUGCGUGCUGUUUUUAUUGCUCUACGUGAUGCACGUUUGUUUGGUAACCUUGGGAAGUGCACCUUUUGCACCGACCGAGUAUCUUUUCUUGGCUAUGUUGUUACUCCAUAGGGAAUUGAAGUUGAUAAAGCCAAGAUUGAAGCUAUUGAGAGUUGGCCGCAGCCCAAAACGGUCACACAAGUGAGGAGUUUUCUUGGCCUCGCUGGAUUCUAUAGGCGUUUUGUGAGAGAUUUCAGCACCAUUGCUGCACCUCUCAAUGAGCUUACAAAGAAAGAUGUGCCUUUUCUUUGGGGUACCGCACAGGAAGAAGCCUUCUCGGUAUUGAAAGAUAAGUUGACACAUGCUCCUUUACUCCAACUUCCUGAUUUUAAUAAGACUUUUGAGCUUGAAUGUGAUGCUAGUGGAAUUGGAUUAGGCGGUGUGUUAUUACAAGAUGGCAAACCUGUUGCAUACUUUUCUGAAAAAUUGAGUGGGCCUAGUCUGAAUUAUUCUACUUAUGAUAAAGAAUUAUAUGCUCUUGUUCGGACUUUAGAAACAUGGCAACAUUAUUUAUGGCCCAAAGAAUUUGUUAUACAUUCUGAUCAUGAAUCUUUGAAACAUAUUAAAAGUCAAGCUAAACUGAAUCGUAGACAUGCUAAGUGGGUUGAAUUCAUUGAGACUUUUCCUUAUGUCAUUAAACACAAGAAGGGAAAAGAAAAUGUUAUUGCUGAUGCAUUGUCUCGCCGCUAUACUAUGCUUUCACAACUUGACUUCAAAAUAUUUGGUUUGGAGACCAUCAAAGAUCAAUAUGUGCAUGAUGCUGAUUUUAAAGAUGUAAUGCAGAAUUGUAAAGAAGGAAGAAUGUGGAACAAGUUCGUCGUUAACUAUGGAUUUGUGUUUCGUGCUAACAAGCUAUGCAUUCCAGCUAGCUCCGUUCGUCUUUUGUUGUUGCAGGAGGCGCAUGGAGGAGGAUUAAUGGGACACUUUGGCGUGAAGAAGACGGAGGACGUACUUGCUACACAUUUCUUUUGGCCAAAGAUGAGACGGGAUGUUGAGCGUUUUAUUGCUCGCUGCACUACAUGUCAAAAAGCUAAGUCACGACUCAAUCCUCAUGGUUUAUAUAUGCCUUUGCCUGUACCUAGUGUUCCUUGGGAGGAUAUAUCUAUGGACUUUGUUUUAGGUUUACCUCGAACAAAGAAGGGGAGGGAUAGCAUAUUUGUUGUCGUGGAUAGAUUCUCGAAAAUGGCACACUUUAUACCAUGUCAUAAAAGCGAUGAUGCUGUUAAUGUUGCUGAUUUGUUCUUUCGUGAAAUUAUUCGCUUGCAUGGUGUGCCAAAUACUAUUGUUUCAGAUCGUGAUACUAAAUUUCUUAGCCACUUUUGGAGAUGUUUAUGGGCUAAGUUGGGGACUAAAGUGCUUUUUAGUACUACUUGUCACCCCCAAACCGAUGGACAAACUGAAGUAGUCAAUAGAACGUUGUCUACUAUGCUUAGGGCUGUUUUGAAGAAUAAUAAGAAAAUGUGGGAGGAAUGCUUGCCUCAUAUUGAAUUUGCUUAUAAUCGUUCAUUGCAUUCUACUACUAAGAUGUGCCCUUUUGAAGUUGUGUAUGGUUUCCUACCUCGUGCACCUAUUGAUUUGUUUCCUCUUCCAUCUUUGGAGAAGGUUAAUUUUGAUGCUAAACAACGUGCUGAAUUGAUUUUAAAAAUGCAUGAGUUAACUAAGGAAAACAUUGAGCGUAUGAAUGCUAAAUAUAAACUUGCUGGAGAUAAGGGUAGAAAACAUGUUGUGUUUGCACCUGGAGAUCUUGUUUGGUUACAUUUGCGUAAGGAUAGAUUUCCUGAUUUGCGCAAAUCAAAGUUUAUGCCACGUGCUGAUGGUCCCUUUAAGGUGUUAGAGAAAAUAAAUGAUAAUGCAUAUAAACUUGAGCUGCCUGCAGAUUUUGGGGUUAGUCCCACUUUUAACAUUGCAGAUUUGAAGCCUUAUUUGGGUGGGGAAGAUGAACUUCCGUCGAGGACGACUUCAUUUCAAGAAGGGGAGGAUGAUGAGGACAUCAAUACAAUUGUUACACCCACAGCCCCUGCUGCUAUACAUACUGGACCAAUUACUAGAGCUCGUGCACGCCAACUAAAUUACCAGGUACUUUCGUUUCUUGGUAAUGAUUCUAAUGUUCAUGAGAAUAUGAUGCUGCCUAAAUUGGAUACGUUUGUUUUGCUUACAAAUGAAGGGCCUAGCUUGGAGAAGGAUGAACAUUGGAGCAAGAACAAGCAUGGAGAUGAUGGCAUGCGCAAGGGGAACAAGAACGGAGUUACAAGUGAUGAUUUCAGGACUUUGAAGCCACCAUAAUGGGUGCAUGAAGCCUUGGACGAAAUAUACAAGAUGCCACUUCAUAAAUUUCGUCCCGAGCCUAUUUUAGGUGCUGCGUCACCUUAUUAUUGGGCCAGGCCCAUGUAAUUUCGAAAUACAUAAGUAUAGGCUAUUUUUAGAGUCCGUAUGUGUGGGGAAACAAGAGAUAGGGUUGAUUUCGGACCCCUCCACCAAGGGCCACGAAAUUCCCCCCUCUUCCUCCAUAUAUACAGCCCUUAGGGCAUCGUUUAGACUUUGGGUAUUGUUUAGAUUAAAAGUUCGCCAUAGCUGCAACUUCGCGUACUUCGUUUGUGUUCAACGACCAGACAAAGGCGUCACAGAACCCCACCUUGAUCAAUAAAGCUUUCAUCUUAUAUUCGCAAUAUCCAGAUUGCAAUCUUAGUUUCUUGCUUGUUCUUCGUUUGCUCGUAGGAAACAGACCCUCGUGGUCAGGUUGUGAUGAGGACAUCAAUACAAUUGUUACACCCACAGCCCCUGCUGCUAUACAUACUGGACCAAUUACUAGAGCUCGUGCACACCAACUAAAUUACCAGGUACUUUCGUUUCUUGGUAAUGAUUCUAAUGUUCAUGAGAAUAUGAUGCUGCCUAAAUUGGAUACAUUUGUUUUGCUUACAAAUGAAGGGCCUAGCUUGGAGAAGGAUGAACAUUGGAGCAAGAACAAGCAUGUAGAUGAUGGCAUGCGCAAGGGAAACAAGAACAGAGUUACAAGUGAUGAUUUCAGGACUUUGAAGCCACCAUAAUGGGUGCAUGAAGCCUUGGACGAAAUAUACAAGACGCCACUUCAUAAAUUUCGUCCCGAGGCUAUUUUAGGUGCUGCGUCACCUUAUUAUUGGGACAGGCCCAUGUAAUUUCGAAAUACAUAAGUAUAGGCUAUUUUUAGAGUCCGUAUGUGUGGGGAAACAAGAGAUAGGGUUGAUUUCGGACCCCUCCACCAAGGGCCACGAAAUUCUCCCCCUCUUCCUCCAUAUAUACAGCCCUUAGGGCAUCGUUUAGACUUUGGGUUUUGUUUAGAUUAAAAGUUCGCCAUAGCUGCAACUUCGCGUACUUCGUUUGUGUUCAACGACCAGACAAAGGCGUCACAGAACCCCACCUUGAUCAAUAAAGCUUUCAUCUUAUAUUCGCAAUAUCCAGAUUGCAAUCUUAGUUUCUUGCUUGUUCUUCGUUUGCUCGCAGGAAACAGACCCUCGUGGUCAGGUUGAUCGUGCUCCGGCGUGGUCAAUAACCUCUCGGAGUUGGUUUAGCGAUUGCUAAGGCGCGACGUCCUCGCACGUUCGUAGUCGGAUCGUCAAAGUCGACUUCCACCAAAGUGAAAUCCACCAUCUCAUCGAAAGACGGGACACCUUUGCCUCUAUCAAGUGGUAUCAGAUUUCCAGGUUGCUCGGUGAGAUUUUACAGUUUUUCGUAGUUUAGAUCGAGUCUGUUCUUCAUACCUAUAGUCCACGAAAAAGCCAAAAAAAAUUAGGGUUAGUUCAUCCCAUCCGAACCAAUCUGAGCCUUGCAUAAUCUUUUCUGUAUUUGCUUUGUUGAAUUUGCGGUUGCAUCGUCGUGUUCAGUUGCUGGUCUUAGCGUCUAGUCUUUUAGAGUUUCGAGUUCUGUUCACAAGUUGUCACGCCGUCGCCGCACCAUCAUCAUCGCCCCUGCCAUCUACCACCACCGCUCCGAAUCCGUAUCCAUAUACCACCACCAAUCCGCUGCCAUAUACCACCACCAUAUAUCCACCACCAAUCCGAGUUCCUUGCUUAUUAGGUUUGUUUUCGGGAUCAAUCUAGAUUCCGAUUCGUGUUUCCUUGCCGGAGUAGGUUUCGGAAAAAAAAAAAAAAAAAAGAGUCGGGUAGCCACGCUCCGUUUAGGCCCAAAAUUUUUCGAAAACGCAUUUUUCGAAAAAAUUUCUGGCUAUCCUAUUUUUAGGUGUUUCUGAGUGUUUUGAGACAGGUGCCAUUAUAGGAAGUUUUUUUUGACCCGUUUCCAGUUUUUGGGUCCGGGCAGUCAAAAAAAAAAAAAUUGGUCAAAAAAAUUUCGUGCCCAUCCUGUCAGUUUGAGCUAAGAAGAGUUUUGAGACACUCGCCAUUAUAGUGAUUUUUCGCAAAAAAAAAAAGCAGCGCAAAAAAAAAGAGCGCAAAAAAAAAGAGCGCAAAAAAAAAAUUCCAGAGUGUGCUUUUCCCUUGUUUACGUGCCGCGCCGUGAUUUUGUUAGUGUUCUAGGCUCGCGUCUCUAGCACAGUCUAGCCUAGGACCAGCACAGUACCGUCGUUGAGCGUUUAUUCAACUUUGCAUCUCUGAAUUGAUUAUUGCUGACCCUUUUUGCUACCAUAUUAUAAGCCUUCCCAGCUCCACAUACAUCUACGUCGUGUGUUUGACUCUCCCUGGUAAUCGCUCUAUCCAAGCUUUGAGAGUUUUUGACUACAACGGUUGCCGAUCACCGCCUGCUGCUGGGUAAGAACUGGUAAGAAUUUGAGAUUUGCUUGACGGAUUUGUGACACCCACCACCACCAUUUGUUCGUAGUCUGUAGGAUCAUAUUCUUGUGUGUUUCUAUUGCUGUUAACCAUGCCAGGAUCACAAGCCGACGAGAUUGACUGGGAGAAUUUAUCGAACAAGGAGCUUCAUGAUAAGUUUCAGCAAAUGAUGACUGAACAGGUGCAAGAUGUGCUGAACAAUUUUGAAGAAGCCAUGGAGAAGAUCACUGGCUUUGAGAAGACGUUCGAAACAAAGCUCGAUAACAAGUUUAAUGAAUUGCUCGCGCGUCUUCCACCACCACCACCCGCUGCAGCUAACGCACCUCUCCAACAACAACAACAACAACGACUACCUCCACGUCGCGAAGCAGACCUCCGCCGAGCAAGCCGUGUUCCUCUUGCGUUUGGCCAAACUGUUGGUGCUGCUGUUGAUACUUCUGUGGCUCCUGCUGCUGAUGCAGAGGAGGAUGAUUAUGUGGGAGACUAUGAGGAUGAGGUUGAUCAAAAUCAACACUACGUGCAGCCACCUGUACCACCACCAGCAGGUCGACCUCAGGUAUAUCUUCGUAAUGGUAGGCCUGCACCACCACCUCAGGUACGAGAUGAUGUCCAUAUUCCUAAACUGAAAUUGAAUAUUCCACCAUUUGAGGGUAGAUAUGUUCCUGAUAUAUAUCUUACUUGGGAGUUAGAAACUGAACAACGAUUUACAUGUUUACAAUAUCCUGAGGAGAGACGAGUUGCUGCUGCCGUUUGUGCUUUCACUAGUUUUGCAUGUGUAUGGUGGUCUGAACAUUGUAGAUUAUAUCCUAUUCCAACUACUUGGGCUGCUUUGAAAACUGCUAUGCGUACGCGUUGGGUUCCACCAUAUUAUCAACGUGAAUUGCUUCAAAAAUUGCAGCGUUUAAGACAAGGAAAAAAUUCUGUAGAAGAAUAUUAUCAGGAAUUACAAACUGGCAUGAUUCGAUGUGGUAUUGUUGAGGAGAAUGAAGCUAUGCUUGCACGUUUUCUGGGUGGAUUAAAUAGAGAGAUUCAGACCAUUCUAGACUAUAAGGAGUAUACUAAUAUCACUCGUUUAUUCCAUCUUGCUUGUAAAGCUGAACGUGAAGUGCAGGAUCGACAAGCAUUGGCGCGAACUAACUUUUCUGCAGGCCGACCUUCAUUGAUGAGGACAUCAAUACAAUUGUUACACCCAGAGCCCCUGCUGCUAUACAUACUGGACCAGUUACUAGAGCUCGUGCACGCCAACUAAAUUACCAGGUACUUUCGUUUCUUGGUAAUGAUUCUAAUGUUCAUGAGAAUAUGAUGCUGCCUAAAUUGGAUACAUUUGUUUUGCUUACAAAUGAAGGGCCUAGCUUGGAGAAGGAUGAACAUUGGAGCAAGAACAAGCAUGGAGAUGAUGGCAUGCGCAAGGGGAACAAGAACGGAGUUACAAGUGAUGAUUUCAGGACUUUGAAGCCACCAUAAUGGGUGCAUGAAGCCUUCGACGAAAUAUACAAGAUGCCACUUCAUAAAUUUCGUCCCGAGGCUAUUUUAGGUGCUGCGUCACCUUAUUAUUGGGCCAGGCCCAUGUAAUUUCGAAAUACAUAAGUAUAGGCUAUUUUUAGAGUCCGUAUGUGUGGGGAAACAAGAGAUAGGGUUGAUUUCGGACCCCUCCACCAAGGGCCACGAAAUUCCCCCCCUCUUCCUCCAUAUCUACAGCCCUUAGGGCAUCGUUUAGACUUUGGGUUUUGUUUAGAUUAAAAGUUCGCCAUAGCUGCAACUUCGCGUACUUCGUUUGUGUUCAACGACCAGACAAAGGCGUCACAGAACCCCACCUUGAUCAAUAAAGCUUUCAUCUUAUAUUCGCAAUAUCCAGAUUGCAAUCUUAGUUUCUUGCUUGUUCUUCGUUUGCUCGCAGGAAACAGACCUUCGUGGUCAGGUUGAUCGUGCUCCGGCGUGGUCAAUAACCUCUCGGAGUUGGUUUAGCGAUUGCUAAGGCGCGACGUCCUCGCACGUUCGUAGUCGGAUCGUCAAAGUCGACUUCCACCAAAGCGAAAUCCACCAUCUCAUCGAAAGACGGGACACCUUUGCCUCUAUCAGUUUUCCUUAGUUAACUCAUGCAUUUUUAAAAUCAAUUCAGCACGUUGUUUAGCAUCAAAAUUAACCUUCUCCGAAGAUGGAAGAGGCAACAAAUCAAUAGGUGCACGAGGUAGGAAACCAUACACAACUUCAAAAGGGCACAUCUUAGUAGUAGAAUGCAAUGAACGAUUAUAAGCAAAUUCAAUAUGAGGCAAGCAUUCCUCCCACAUUUUCUUAUUAUUCUUCAAAACAGCCCUAAGCAUAGUAGACAACGUUCUAUUGACUACUUCAGUUUGUCCAUCAGUUUGGGGGUGACAAGUAGUACUAAAAAGCAGUUUAGUCCCCAACUUAGCCCAUAAACAUCUCCAAAA